rnacentral:rRNA from 1 species
GACGAACGCUGGCGGCGUGCUUAACACAUGCAAGUCGAACGGAAAGGCCCUGCUUUUGUGGGGUGCUCGAGUGGCGAACGGGUGAGUAACACGUGAGUAACCUGCCCUUGACUUUGGGAUAACUUCAGGAAACUGGGGCUAAUACCGGAUAGGAGCUCCUGCUGCAUGGUGGGGGUUGGAAAGUUUCGGCGGUUGGGGAUGGACUCGCGGCUUAUCAGCUUGUUGGUGGGGUAGUGGCUUACCAAGGCUUCGACGGGUAGCCGGCCUGAGAGGGUGACCGGCGACAUAGGGACUGAGAUACGGCCCAGACUCCAGCGGGAGGCAGCAGUAGAAAAUAUUGCACAAUGGGCGGAAGCCUGAUACAGCAACUCCGCGUGCGGGAUGACGGCCUUCGGGUUGUAAACCGCUUUCGCCUGUAACGAAGCGUGAGUGACGGUAAUGGGUAAAGAAGCACCGGCUGACUACGUG